rnacentral:sRNA from 1 species
GCGUGUCAAACCUUGCCCUGGUGUUGAUGGGGAACGGCACAUAUACCGUGCUUGCGCCGUGGUUUGAUAGCGGGUUUCACAGCGCGCCGGUCCCACAGCUAGUUCUUUGGUUAUUCCGACACCUCUCUUUCGUUUUGCUUUGGUUAUCUCUGGCCCCCUCUUUGUAACUGCGUACAUCAGCAAUCACAGGGGAGGAAAGAGCUGCUGAGGGCCUAGCGCAGAUCUAAAGAAUUGUAGUGAGAACGCUCGAUGGUAACUAAAACGGAUGGGUGCUCUUCUUCACGGGCCAAGCACGCAUCAUCACCCCCCAACCCGCUUCGACAGGCUUUUGGUGGAAGGCGGGACGAACAGAUUCCUCAUCGCUGUUGAUACGCCAGAUGUGGUUGCGGGCGGGCAUAGGACGGUGUGUACGAGC